rnacentral:lncRNA from 1 species
GAAAAGGUGAAGAAGCCGCAGGGCACGCGGCGGGUGCAGCGGCUCGCUGAAACUCCCAGAUCGUGGCCAGGAGAAGUAGAAGGAAUUCCGUAGGCCAUGCUGGGAAACCAGUCUAAUUCCGAUUGAGUCAGGGAUCCCGUCUGAGGAUUCUCAGCAUCGCUGCACUGCAGCUUUUGAGUAAGAAGUUAGAUAGAAGUCAGGUUUCCAACGACUCACCAGCGUAAAAUCCUUUUGUGGGAAGACCACUGUUUACUUCAUUUGAGGCUUCCGCCAAGAUUAGGAUUCAUCAAGAAAUUCUCUAAUAAGGAGCAAAAGAGACGGCUCAGAAUGAGAGCUCUUCGAAGAAUCCAGGUUUGACUCCCAAGAACCACACAAGAACUAUCCUCCCAUCUUUGCUCCCGCCCCGCGCUCUAAACGCACCGCCACUUUACAAAGCAUACUCGAGAGCCUAACCGUCCACACGCUUCUACGUCGUUUCUCUGCUCCGCCCCACCCCAGGACCUGUGCUCUCUCCUACACCGUGACAUUCCCCGCGUUUCUAAAGCGGGCACAGACACCCCAGCCCUGAGCAUCUUUCAUUUAUAUAGAUCACUCCUCUCUAACACCACAGACAGCUCAGAUUCUCAAGAAAACACCCGGCUUCUGGACCUGCCCUCCUGCUGUUAAUUAGCAUUUCAUUUCCCUCUCUAGGCUUAUUAACUUUAUCUGGUUUCAAAACUGCUUUAAGGUUUGCUGUACCUACCUAUAAUUCCCCACAACUGUGUUCAAAUGAUAUUCUCCUGCCUCUUGGGUGAAUUCUUCAUUGCACCUUGUUUCUUCCAUGUCUCAAGGGACCCAGAAGGGCAGCAAAAUUCACCUAGAAAAGAGACAGCAGGAGACUGGAGGGAGAUAUGGCUUGGCUGUUAAGAAUGUUGUUGCCAGAGACGGAGGCAAUGGCUAAGCAAUAACGGACCCAACUUGAGACCCAUCCCAUGGGCAAGCACCAGUCCUGACUAUUAAUGAUCCUCUGUUAUGCUUGCAGACAGCCUAACAUAACUGUCCUCUGAGAGGCUCCACACAGCAGCUGACGGAAACAGACGCAGAGACCCACAGCCAGACAUUGGGUAGAGCUCAGGGAGUCUCAUGGAAGAGUUGGGGGAAGGAUUGAGGCCCACAAAGGGGAUAGGAACUCCACAUGAAGACCACAGUCAACUAACCUGGCUGUCUGAGACUCAACCACCAACCAAAGAGAGAACACAGACUAGACUGAGUCGUCCCCACAGCCCCCACAUAUGUAGCAAAGUCUCCAUGUGGAUCCCCCAACAGCUGGAGUGGGGGCUAUCCCUAAAUCUGUUGUCUGUCUGUGGAAUGUUCUCCUAAAUGGCCUGCCUUGUCUGGCCUCAGUGGGAGAGGAUGUGACUCGUCCUGAAGAGAAUUGAUGUGACAGGUUGCGGGAUAGGGAGUGGGGCUCCACCCUCUCAGAGAAGGAGGGGGGGGAAGCUGGAGGAGGCAGAGAUUGGGAUGUAAAAUGAAUAAAAAAUAUUGUUUUAAAAGUUGAAGAAGACCUGAGUUCUGCUCCUAGUGCCCAAGGUGGCUCACAACCAUCUUUAAAUCCUACUCCACAAAUCUCUUUUGAGGUGUGAUUGGUUCCGGUAUCUCUAAGUUACGACCCCAUAACUAUUCUUUUCUGCCCAUCCCUUGUCCAUAUCCAUAUCGCACUUUUUUGUAAGUGCAUUGAGAAAGUCCCAUCUGCAGCUAAAGACUUAAAAUCUUAUUCAGAACAUUAAAAUUCUGG